CAGUCGCCGCGGUAAUACGUAGGGUGCAAGCGUUAAUCGGAAUUACUGGGCGUAAAGCGUGCGUAGGUGGUGGUUUAAGUCCGUUGUGAAAGCCCUGGGCUCAACCUGGGAAUUGCAGUGGAUACUGGGUCACUAGAGUGUGGUAGAGGAUAGUGGAAUUUCCGGUGUAGCAGUGAAAUGCGUAGAGAUCGGAAGGAACAUCUGUGGCGAAGGCGACUAUCUGGGCCAACACUGACACUGAGGCACGAAAGCGUGGGGAGCAAACAGGAUUAGAUACCCCGGUAGUCCCUGUCUCUUAUAC
rnacentral:rRNA from 1 species